AUUUUAAACUUACCUUCUUCAAAUCUUUGUUCCAAAAGACUCUCAUUCGAAAAGAGCCUCUCUUUGAACUCCCCGAUAUUGGUACUCUUUGGGAAAAGACCCCCGAUCCCCGAGAUCACCACAUCAUCAGGCACUACAUUCAUUUUCGAUUGUGAGAUGCACAACUCUUUCCAAAAAAACAAACAACCAAAA